rnacentral:rRNA from 1 species
CCUACGGGAGGCAGCAGUGAGGAAUAUUGGUCAAUGGGCGUAAGCCUGAACCAGCCAAGUCGCGUGAGGGAUGAAGGUUCUAUGGAUCGUAAACUUCUUUUAUAAGGGAAUAAAGUGCGGCACGUGUGCCGUUUUGUAUGUACCUUAUGAAUAAGGAUCGGCUAACUCCGUGCCAGCAGCCGCGGUAAUACGGAGGAUCCGAGCGUUAUCCGGAUUUAUUGGGUUUAAAGGGUGUGUAGACGGGUUGUUAAGUCAGGGGUGAAAGUUUGUGGCUCAACCGUAAAAUUGCCAUUGAUACUGGCAGUCUUGAGUAUAGUUGAGGUAGGCGGAAUGCGUGGUGUAGCGGUGAAAUGCUUAGAUAUCACGAAGAACUCCGAUUGCGAAGGCAGCCUACCAAGCUGCGACUGACGCUGAUGCUCGAAAGCGUGGGGAUCAAACAGGAUUAGAUACCCUAGUAGUC